rnacentral:rRNA from 1 species
UAGGGAAUCUUCGGCAAUGGACGGAAGUCUGACCGAGCAACGCCGCGUGAGUGAAGAAGGUUUUCGGAUCGUAAAGCUCUGUUGUUAGAGAAGAACGUUGUUAGGAGUGGAAAAUCUACCAAGUGACGGUAACUAACCAGAAAGGGACGGCUAACUACGUGCCAGCAGCCGCGGUAAUACGUAGGUUCCGAGCGUUGUCCGGAUUUAUUGGGCGUAAAGCGAGCGCAGUCGGUUCUUUAAGUCUGAAGUUAAAGGCAGUGGCUUAACCAUUGUACGCUUUGGAAACUGGAGGACUUGAGUGCAGAAGGGGAGAGUGGAAUUCCAUGUGUAGCGGUGAAAUGCGUAGAUAUAUGGAGGAACACCGGUGGCGAAAGCGGCUCUCUGGUCUGUAACUGACGCUGAGGCUCGAAAGCGUGGGGAGCAAACAGG